rnacentral:rRNA from 1 species
GAACCUGCGGAAGGAUCAUUACCGAGUUUUCGGGCUUCGGCUCGACUCUCCCACCCUUUGUGAACGUACCUCUGUUGCUUUGGCGGCUCCGGCCGCCAAAGGACCUCCAAACUCCAGUCAGUAAACGCAGACGUCUGAUAAACAAGUUAAUAAACUAAAACUUUCAACAACGGAUCUCUUGGUUCUGGCAUCGAUGAAGAACGCAGCGAAAUGCGAUAAGUAAUGUGAAUUGCAGAAUUCAGUGAAUCAUCGAAUCUUUGAACGCACAUUGCGCCCCUUGGUAUUCCGGGGGGCAUGCCUGUUCGAGCGUCAUUACAACCCUCAAGCUCUGCUUGGAAUUGGGCACCGUCCUCACUGCGGACGCGCCUCAAAGACCUCGGCGGUGGCUGUUCAGCCCUCAAGCGUAGUAGAAUACACCUCGCUUUGGAGUGGUUGGCGUCGCCCGCCGGACGAACCUUCUGAACUUUUCUCAAGGUUGACCUCGGAUCAGGUAGGGAUACCCGCUGAACUUAAGCAUAUCAAUAA